rnacentral:rRNA from 1 species
ACUCCUACGGGAGGCAGCAGUAGGGAAUCUUCCACAAUGGGCGCAAGCCUGAUGGAGCAACACCGCGUGAGUGAAGAAGGGUUUCGGCUCGUAAAGCUCUGUUGUUAAAGAAGAACACGUAUGAGAGUAACUGUUCAUACGUUGACGGUAUUUAACCAGAAAGUCACGGCUAACUAUGUGCCAGCAGCCGCGGUAAUACGUAGGUGGCAAGCGUUAUCCGGAUUUAUUGGGCGUAAAGAGAGUGCAGGCGGUUUUCUAAGUCUGAUGUGAAAGCCUUCGGCUUAACCGGAGAAGUGCAUCGGAAACUGGAUAACUUGAGUGCAGAAGAGGGUAGUGGAACUCCAUGUGUAGCGGUGGAAUGCGUAGAUAUAUGGAAGAACACCAGUGGCGAAGGCGGCUACCUGGUCUGCAACUGACGCUGAGACUCGAAAGCAUGGGUAGCGAACAGGAUUAGAUACCCU